CUCUUUUCUUCUUUGUCAUCAAUCUAAUUUUUCGAACUGAUAUUGUGAUUUUUCGGACUGAUAUUGUGAUUUUCGGAAUGAUAUUGCAAUUUUUGGACUGAUAUAUUCUAAUUUUUGGACUGAUUUUGGAACAGAUUUUUAGGACUGGUAUAUUCAGAAUUUCAGACUGAUUUUGUAACUGAUUUUGUGUUUUUGGGGGAUUGAUAUUAUAAUUUUGGGUAUGGACGUGAAUAUAUUUGGGGAAAAUGCCGAUCCGAGUGAAGGAAGAAGAGAGAAUCGAAAGGAUCAUUCGUAACCUUUUGAAGCUUCCAGAGAAUCGGAGAUGUAUCAAUUGUAACAGUCUGGUGUGUGACUUUGCCUCUCUUGUUUUUUUCAAUUUGUUUUAUGGUUGUUUAUUAUUUGAAUCUAGAAAUGUGGAGUUCAAUGUGAAUAGCUGAGAUUCUUGUGAUAAGAUGAUUCGAUAGUUUUAUAGAAUACAUAAUUCAUCAAUUUUAUGUAUUCAAUAGGUAAAAAUGGUUGCUUCUUGUCUGAAUUGAUGUAUUAUAUGAGUGAAAACUGAAUCCAAGUUCUCUACUUACAUAUCACUCUAGAUUUCUUAAUGCUGAAUUUGGAUCGAGACUACGGAAAACAGACAGGAUAGGAGAUUCCUUAAAAGUGUUGUUUAUAUUUAUAGCUUUUUUCACUUUCUUUUGACUUAAUUUACUUCAUCAAGGAGAAUUGUGGGAAGAAAUAGGUGAAAAAAGUUAUCAUUCUAGACACCUUUGCGCUGUGUUUGGUUAGGAGAUUUAGGAAGAGGUUUGAAAAGACAAAGGAAAAAUGUGUGUGAAACUAUAUGAAAUGUAGGCAUAUUUUUAUUUACAUUUCAUCUACAUUUUUCGUUUUCCUUUCCAAAUCCCCCAACCAAACACCACGUUAGAGUUUGAAAUAUAAGAAAUGGAUUUUUUUCAUAUGGUGUUUGCCACUGGGAGGUUUGACUUAAGUUUUGAUGUUGUGAUGACAUACGAUCCAGCUAAGGAUUCUUUCAAGAAAAGAUUUUAGUGGGGCAUUAGUGCUUGGCACAUACAAAAGUCAACGCUAGACCUCAUUCUCUGUUUCUAUACUUGAAUUCUCAACUCACCUUUCUGUGCCAUUUGCAUAUGAACAGCUACAGCUGUAAUUCUACAAGUUUUGCUAACAUUGCACACAACACUUAAAUGAAUUUUCUGUAGCAUCGCUGGCUGUCCAUUUUCUUUUUCAGGGAAAGUAUUUGUGGAGCUGUCCUAGUUUAUUUAUUUAUUUAACAGGAGUAAGGAGUACUUGUGGUACAUCAUUCAUGGAUUUGAAGUGAAAUUAUUACAAUUAUGGAAUUUUUUUUUUUUUUUGCUCCUCCGUGGUUCAACAAAUGAAAUUAUAGUUCCAUAUCGAAGGCUGUUCAUAAUUCUGAAAGUCCUUUGUUUGGUUCAAUACUAUGGCUGACAUGUGUUCUUUACAAUAUGUGUGCACUACUUUCUGGACCAUUGUUUGCACCAACUAUAGUGGAGUGCAGUAAGUCUUGAUCUGUGCCCUUACAUUUAUUCCUUUCCUACACUUUUCUCAGUUAUAUUAAGCUGUGUGUGAUGCAUGUUGAAAUUUUGCAUGAUAUCAAUGGAAGUCCUGAUAAAUUGGUUUGUAUUUAAUUUCAUAUUACACUGUCAGAUUUUAGUUUAGUAUAUUUUUCCUGGCUUGAUUGAUUAUUCUCUUGAUUAAUUGUAGUCGGGAAUUCUCCCACCGAGUAAAAUCUGUGUAAAUGGCUAAAUUUAAUACAGAAUAAGUUAAUGCUCUUCAAGCUGGGGGGAAAUGAGGUGUGUGACCCAUUUAAAAUAGAGCUGCUUUUUUUUUGCCGCUCUUUUGUAUUCCUCUCUUCUACUGUAAAUCAAACCUUUUUGCUUAUGAUUGGUCAAUAUGUUUUCCAUUUUCAUAGCAAGCAAGGGAAAUUUACUUCAAAGAGUGGGAUCCACAGUGUCAUUCAUUUCCAGAUUGCAGUAACCAAAAUAGACUUCGGGAUUUUAUUAAACAUGUCUAUGUGGAUAGAAAAUUUACUGGUGGGAGGAGCAUGAACAAGCUUGCAAUGGUGAAAACAGAGGAAGACUCCUGUCAUUGGCAUUCUGGUGAGAGACCUAGUUCUGGACAAAGGAGUGAUGACAGAAGUUCAAAAUAUUAUAUUGAUGAUAGAAGAAGUCCAGGGUACGAACUAGACAAUGUCAGAUCUAGCACUCACAAGAACCGUCCCGUUAACUUUGAGAUAGUCGAUGACAGGUUUCGAGAUGAUGGGAAUGGAAGUGGCAAGCGAUCUGAAAUGCAUAGGCCUUCUAAUGCAGAGUCCAGGGCACGGGGCAAGUCACCAGUUUAUCCCAAAAGCAGGAACGUCACCAGUCCCCCAGUAGUGCGCCCAGUCAGGGAUAUUUUGGGUGAUAAUGUUCCAAAUUUGCAGGUAGGCAAAUCUCCUGAAGCAAAUGACAGGAUAGAUAAUGAGAGCUCUACUCAUGGCAGGGUGAGAUUAAUUACUUAAUUAUGUAGUGAUAGUAUUUUGUGUUUACGUGUUAUGUGUGUGUUUCCAUUAUUGUAUUUUAGUGUAAUUUGCUCAAGAUGUCCUCCUUCCAGUAAGAUAUUACUUUCCAUGUGAUUCUCUGGUAGUUUGAGAGAGCAUUACCACUAGCAAUUUUGUGUAGAAUCAUGCAAGUUGCAUAGAAUUUACGAGGUGCAAGUCUGAAUAUUCUUAUUGGAUGGAAUCCUAUAUUCACCAUGGCUUAUCAAUUUGCAACUUUCUUUAUGUCAUUCUGGUGUAGCAAUUUUUAUGAAAACUUAAUAGUGGUGGCAUCCCCUUUAUGUUGUUCUCUUUGAGAUUCUUGGUUCUGCUGAAGCUGGCCAUAUCAGAUCUUAUUCUUUAUUGGGCUGAUUCUUGUUUCUUGAGACUAUUUCAUCAUUGAAAGCUGUGAAAUGGUCCAAAACAAUUGUCCUGGGCAGGUUGUUGCACUUAGUCUCUGUACAGACUACACUUUCUUACAGAUAUAUAAAUCUUCUCUGUAUUCUAUUAAACCACAUAAAGUUGCAAGUACCCAAACUCCUUAGUAUUCCUCCAUUGACCUAAUGCAGAAUUGAAAAAAUUACAAUGGACUAAUUUCUGUUGUUUCAUGUAAAAGGCGAUGAACAUCAAUAAUUUUUAGUUUACACUAAUUUUCUUUGUUCUGUCUCCAUUCACUGAUACCAUUUCUCAUGCAAAUAGGAAAGCCAAGUUUUUCGCAAUAUCUCAACAAUGGUAUUUUCUUUGCAAAACUAGAUGAAAUUACAUUUUUGUAGUGUUUAAAAGUAAAUAUUGUUGCUCUCAAAUGCAGCAAUAUUUACUAUCGUGACAACUCGUGUGGCAAUUGGUAUAAAUAAGCCGACAGGAUCAUCGCAUUCCCCAAGAGGGUAACAAAUGUCUAUUUGCUAAGUUCAUUUUUGGCUUUUUGGUACUUUUUUGGCAGAAGAAUUUUGCUAAUAAUGUAUUUGGUAGCCUAGCUUAUUCUGUAAUCCUUUGAAGUUAAAAGCAUGUUGCAUUCUAAUCUUUAAAUCUUUCUCAGUGUAGAAAACAAAAUCUUUGAAUGAUCCAGGCUCUGUUGAUAGGAAAUCACAGGAACAUAAAAGAGUGAACUCAGGUGAAAAUAGUCAAGUUCAUUUGCUUGUGUAGGACUCAAGCCUUUGACCUCCUAGUGAGUUGCAGGGAUUCCGGUCAACUGUGUUAGCGCCAAUUGAUCAAAAUCUGGAUGUGUUGAAGUGAAGAUGAGAUGUAAAAUAAUUUAAAAGUUUCAAACCCGUUUCCUGAGAUGUAAUAGGUAGUGUGUUUCUUCUUAUAGACAUGGACUUCAUCACUUACACCAAAUGCUCAAGAUUCAUCAAGUGCUGUUGCUGGAGACUCAUCUCAACCCAGCUCUAAAGUAGUCCAAGAUACCACGUCCAGAUUUGGGUCACAAACUCUUCUGGUGGAAACGAAGUCUUGUGGGAGGCAGGAACUUCCAUCGGACCUUUUCACUGCAAACCAUUCAUCAUUUCCAGCACCAGUUCUAAGUUGGCAAGUCCAUCCACCUUAUGGAAUGGGAUAUGGCAUGCAGUACCAUCCUACAGCCAUGUCCAUGCUAGCUUUUUCCAAUUCAGCAAAAUCAAGGAAUCCAUUUGAUCUCAAUGAUGACAACACUCAAGCUCAAGGUCCAAUGAUUGGCAAUGGUGGAAAAUAGUUUGGGUUGUAUCAGAAGAUUUGAUUUUGUGUUUUUGGAAAUAUUUUGACAUAGGAUUUUGGUAAAUGAUUUAUGGAUUAAAUGUUUAGCAUCAAAAUAUUUGGUGUUGUGUUUUUGCAAAUAUUUUGACAUAGGAUUUUAGUAAAUGACUUGUUGGUUAGAUGUUUAACAUCAAAAUAUUUGGUUGUAAUUUUGAAAAUAUUUUGAUAUAGGAUCUGGUAAUGUGUUUA